GUCUACGGUGAUACCACCCUGAAUGCACCUGAUCUCGUCUGAUCUCAGAAGAUAAGCAGGAUCGGGCCUGGUUAGUACUUGAAUGGAAGACCACCUGGGAAUACCAGGAGCUGUAGGAU
rnacentral:rRNA from 1 species